CAUCAGAGCCUAAACCUACUGUUGUAGAUAAGGAUGAAGUAAAUAUAUAAAAUGGAAACUAAUAAUGUGACUCAUGCAACAGUAUGAAAUAGUAUUUGUCACAUGUGCGGAAUACAACAGGUGUAGAUCUUACAGGGAAAUGCUUACUUACAAGCCCCUUAACAAACUAUGCUUUCAGAAGAUACAAAAAAAUAAGUUACGAAAAAAUAAGUGUUAAGUAAAAAAUAGAAAAUAAUAGUAAAAAAUAAUUCAACAGCAGCAGUAAAAUAACACUAGAGAGGCUAUAUAAAGGGAAAGGGGGAUACCUAGUCAGUUGUACAACUGAAUGCAUUCAACUGAAAUUUGUCUUCUGCAUUUAACCCCACCCCUCUACAGGGGGUAUCGUACAGAGUCAAUUUGGGGGGCACCGGUUAGUUGAGGUAAUAUGUACAUGUAGGUAGGGUUAAAGUGACUGUGCAUAGAUAAUAAACAGGUUAGUUGAGGUAGUUUGUACAUGUAGGUAGAGGUAAAGUGACUAUACAUAGAUAAUAAACAGGUUAGUUGAGGUAAUAUGUACAUGUAGGUAGAGGUAAAGUGACUGUGCAUAGAUAAUAAACAGGUUAGUUGAGGUAAUAUGUACAUGUAGGUAGAGGUAAAGUGACUGUGCAUAGAUAAUAAACAGGUUAGUUGAGGUAAUAUGUACAUGUAGGUAGAGGUAAAGUGACUGUGCAUAGAUAAUAAACAGGUUAGUUGAGGUAAUAUGUACAUGUAGGUAGAGUUAAAGUGACUGUGCAUAGAUAAUAAACAGGUUAGUUGAGGUAAUAUGUACAUGUAGGUAGAGGUAAAGUGACUGUGCAUAGAUAAUAAACAGGUUAGUUGAGGUAAUAUGUACAUGUAGGUAGAGUUAAAGUGACUGUGCAUAGAUAAUAAACAGGUUAGUUGAGGUAAUAUGUACAUGUAGAUAGAGGUAAAGUGACUGUGCAUAGAUAAUAAACAGGUUAGUUGAGGUAAUAUGUACAUGUAGGUAGAGUUAAAGUGACUAUGCAUAGAUAAUAAACAGGUUAGUUGAGGUAAUAUGUACAUGUAGGUAGAGUUAAAGUGACUAUGCAUAGAUAAUAAACAGGUUAGUCGAGGUAAUAUGUACAUGUAGGUAGAGUUAAAGUGACUGUGCAUAGAUAAUAAACAGGGUAGUUGAGGUAAUAUGUACAUGUAGGUAGGGUUAAAGUGACUGUGCAUAGAUAAUAAACAGGUUAGUUGAGGUAAUAUGUACAUGUAGGUAGAGGUAAAGUGACUAUACAUAGAUAAUAAACAGGUUAGUUGAGGUAAUAUGUACAUGUAGGUAGAGGUAAAGUGACUGUGCAUAGAUAAUAAACAGGUUAGUUGAGGUAAUAUGUACAUGUAGGUAGAGUUAAAGUGACUGUGCAUAGAUAAUAAACAGGUUAGUUGAGGUAAUAUGUACAUGUAGGUAGAGGUAAAGUGACUGUGCAUAGAUAAUAAACAGAGUGUUGCAGCAGCGUCUUGGUCGCCCUUUGAUUAGCUGUUCAGGAGUCUUGGCUUGGGGGUAGAAGCUGUUCAGAAGCCUUUUGGACCUAGACUUGGCGGUCCGGAACCUCUUGCCGUGUGGUAGCAAAGAGAACAACAGCCUAUGACUGGGGUGGCUGGAGUCUGACAAUUUUUAUGGCCUUCUUCUGACACCGUCAGGUUAGAGGUCCUGGAUGUCAGGAAGCUUGGCCCCAGUGAUGUACUGGGCCAUACGGGCCUUUUGAUCGGAGGCCGAGCAGUUGCCAUAACAGUCGGUGAUGCACCCAGUCAGUCAGUAUGCACUAAUGCAGCCUUUCUUAAAGUUGGGUCACGGACUUGUUAAUGGUGGGUCGUGACGUGUCAGUGUAAAUACGUCAUUAUUUCAUGAAUUACUGGAAUUGAUUUGUCCAAGUGCAUCUGCGCUCUCUGUACGGUGCGCGUUCUGCUUAAGCAGCGUCUCUGCUCAGUUUGGCAGCUGCACCAGUGUGAGAGGGAGAUGCCUGUGUACAUCGGAGUUGUGUACCUGAUCUCCUUUUCUGCAGUUUUCUUGAAGAUCCCUCGGCUACACACGACGCAGCGCUGUCGUUCAGAUUGUUGGCAUGUUAUAACAGGUGAUGAUAAGCAGUAAUACGGGAGUACUAACUAACUCAUAGUGGUAGAUGUGAGUUUCUCUUUCAAUCCCCUGGCCUUGUACACAGCUAAUAGCUAACAUUCACCAAAACAAGCUAGCUACUGAUAGUGCAACCCUAGUAACAGUACAGAUGAAAAUGAAAAAAAUGAUCAGGCCUACUUUACAUCUUACUGUAGAAAUUAUUGUUAAACUAGUCUAGGUUGGAACUGUUGCUGUUAAAAUACAAUAAUAAUUGUUAUUCUUAACUGGAAUUAACUGAUUGACGCAAGAUGCUUUUUGAGGCAAACACACUCAGUUCUGGGUUGUUCAUGUACAAUAGGAAGCGGUCUCCUGCCUGACUGAGAAAGCAGUAGAUGUUCUGGGUUGUUCAUGUACAGUAGGAAGCGGUCUCCUGCCUGACUGAGAAAGCAGUAGAUGUUCUGGGUUGUUCAUGUACAGUAGGAAGCGGUCUCCUGCCUGACUGAGAAAGCAGUAGAUGUUCUGGGUUGUUCAUGUACAGUAGGAAGCGGUCUCCUGCCUGACUGAGAAAGCAGUAGAUGUUCUGGGUUGUUCAUGUACAGUAGGAAGCGGUCUCCUGCCUGACUGAGAAAGCAGUAGAUGUUCUGGGUUGUUCAUGUACAGUAGGAAGCGGUCUCCUGCCUGACUGAGAAAGCAGUAGAUGUUCUGGGUUGUUCAUGUACAGUAGGAAGCGGUCUCCUGCCUGACUGAGAAAGCAGUAGAUGUUCUGGGUUGUUCAUGUACAGUAGGAAGCGGUCUCCUGCCUGAC